UACAGAGGUCUCGAGCGUUAGGCGGAAUCACUGGGCUUAAAGCGUGUGUAGGUGGAUGCCUAAGUACCUUGUGAAAUCCCACGGCUUAACCGUGGAACUGCUUGGUAUACUGGGUGUCUUGAGUCACUCAGGGGCGAGCGGAACAAAUGGUGGAGCGGUGAAAUGCGUAGAUAUCAGGAGGAACACCAGUGGCGAAGGCGCCACUCUGGGCCGUAACUGACGCUGAGGAGCGAAAGCGUGGGUAGCAAACAGG
rnacentral:rRNA from 1 species